rnacentral:lncRNA from 1 species
CUCCAUCCUUUCUCCAUGCGCCUUCAUCUUAUUAGCAAUGGUCAAUGUCCUGGCAAAGUACUCAUCGACUUUUUCACCCUCCUUCAUACCAAGGAUCUCGAACUCUCUCCUCAAGGCCUGUAGCUGCGCACGUUUCACCUUGGUAGAGCCUUGAUACUUCUGUCUCAUUGAAUCCCAGAUAGCCUUCGCAGUCUCCUUAUUGAGUAUGGUCUCAAU